CCACGCCCCACGGUGCAGAGGAGGCGCUCGACAAGGAGCCCACCGGCAAAGUCAAGCUGGGAUGGAUGAAAGGCGUGCUGAUGCCGUGCAUGCUGAACAUCUGGGGCGUGAUGCUGUUCCUGAGGAUCUCCUGGGUCGUGGGACAGGCUGGACUCUCCUUGACACUGAUCAUCGUAUGCUCGGCCAACCUGGUGACGUUCAUCACAGCGCUCUCCAUGU